CCUACGGGGGGCAGCAGUGAGGAAUAUUGGUCAAUGGGCGCGAGCCUGAACCAGCCACGUAGCGUGAAGGAUGACUGCCCUACGGGUUGUAAACUUCUUUUAUAAAGGAAUAAAGUGAGGCACGUGUGCCUUUUUCGAUGUACUUUAUGAAUAAGGAUCGGCUAACUCCGUGCCAGCAGCCGCGGUAAUACGGAGGAUCCGAGCGUUAUCCGGAUUUAUUGGGUGUAAAGGGCGCGUAGAUGGGUUGUUAAGUCAGUUGGGAAAGUUUGCGGCUCAACCGUAAAAUUGCAAUUGAUACUGGCAGUCUUGAGUACAGUUGAGGUAGGCGGAAUUCGUGGUGUAGCGGUGAAAUGCUUAGAUAUCACGAAGAACACCGAUUGAGAAGGCAGCUUACUAAACUGCCACUGACAUUGAUGCGCGAAAGUGUGGGUAUCAAACAGGAUUAGAUACCCGAGUAGUC
rnacentral:rRNA from 1 species